ACAUUUCGAAAGGAAUGCUAAUACCGCAUACGUCCUACGGGAGAAAGCAGGGGAUCUUCGGACCUUGCGCUAAUACAUGAGCCUAAGUCGGAUUAGCUAGUUGGUGGGGUAAAGGCCUACCAAGGCGACGAUCUGGACCGGAUCUAACACUAAGAUCCGCCACACUGGGACUGAGACACGGCCCAGACUAAUACGGGAGGCAGCAGUGGGGAAUAUUGGACAAUGGGCGCAAGCCUGAUCCAGCCAUGCCGCGUGUGUGAAGAAGGCCUUAUGGUUGUAAAGCACUUUAAGCGAGGAGGAGGCUACUGAAGUUAAUACCUUCAGAUAGUGGACGUUACUCGCAGAAUAAGCACCGGCUAACUCUGUGCCAGCAGCCGCGGUAAUACAGAGGGUGCAAGCGUUAAUCGGAUUUACUGGGCGUAAAGCGCGCGUAGGCGGCUAAUUAAGUCAAAUGUGAAAUCCCCGAGCUUAACUUGGGAAUUGCAUUCGAUACUGGUUAGCUAGAGUGUGGGAGAGGAUGGUAGAAUUCCAGGUGUAGCGGUGAAAUGCGUAGAGAUCUGGAGGAAUACCGAUGGCGAAGGCAGCCAUCUGGCCUAACACUGACGCUGAGGUGCGAAAGCAUGGGGAGCAAACAGGAUUAGAUACCCUGGUAGUCCAUGCCGUAAACGAUGUCUACUAGCCGUUGGGGCCUUUGAGGCUUUAGUGGCGCAGCUAACGCGAUAAGUAGACCGCCUGGGGAGUACGGUCGCAAGACUAAAACUCAAAUGAAUUGACGGGGGCCCGCACAAGCGGUGGAGCAUGUGGUUUAAUUCGAUGCAACGCGAAGAACCUUACCUGGCCUUGACAUAGUAAGAACUUUCCAGAGAUGGAUUGGUGCCUUCGGGAACUUACAUACAGGUGCUGCAUGGUUGUCGUCAGCUCGUGUCG
rnacentral:rRNA from 1 species